UUACAGCAGAACGAGGGGAGAGGAGAGGAGAGGGGAGGAGAGGAGAGGGGAGGAGGGCGGCGGCCGGAUAGGCCGCCGAGUGACGGCUCCGCGGCGGCGUCGCGGUGGUGGGCUCGGCGUGCGGCUCUGCUCUGCGGCGGCCGUGGAGGGCGCGGGCUGCUCUGGGCCUCGCGGGAGGUGGAGCGGCGGCCCUGGGGGUGAGGUCGCCGGUGGGCCUCGCGUGGGGGGCUCGGAUCCAGAGCCUGGGUGGAUCUGGCCCUCCCUUCAGGCGUGGUGCUUCGCCGCGGGGAGGUGCCCCGGCGGCCAGCGGCGGAGUUGUUUUUGUGCAGCAGCAUGCUCGCUCCCCUUGGAGCUUGGCGAUGACCAUGAUGGUCGAGCGCUGGCUAAUCCCACAAUGCAACUGAUUAGCCACCCCCAGGUGGUUUUCCGUGUCCUGAACUGAUAUGCUGUUGUAUCCUGAUUUUCAAUGUCCAUGUUGGACCUCCUUGAUGAUUCACAGCCUUUGAGUCAUUUUUAACAGCUAUGUCUAACCAUUUCUGUCUGAGAUACUGUCAUGUGAGUUAAAAUACUCCACAGAUUGCUCACAUGUGCUUUUGCUACUUCGGAUUUUUUUCUGGGUGAAGUGAAAAGGGAAGGUCCAGUUAUGGGUUUGCAGGUUGUGCUGUGAACAGGGCAUCAAUGGACGACUCUGAGACAAGGGUUGAUGAUGUUCAUGAAUUGGGGUUCAAAAGAACAUUAUCAAUUGUUCAGGUUUUUCAUAUAUGAGCAGCUCCUUGAUCGAUUAUUUCUAUUAGAUGAUAAUGAUGUCAUUUCAGUUGCGUUAGAUGAUAAUGAUCUCAUGUUUAUGUCAUUUCAGUUGCGUUAGAUGAUAAUGAUGUUUGCUGCAUCGCACCCUUUCAGCAAUAGCCGUUUCGAGGGAUCACAAACCUUACCAAACAGAGAGACAGAGAAUUGUAGAAGCUGCAGGCUUUGUGAGGUGGGCUGGGACGUGGUGUGUUGCUGGUGUUCGUGCUGUUUCUCGAGUAUUUGGUGAUAAACUUACAAAGCAGUAUGUUAGGUGAUCGAGAGAUCAAGGCUUGACUUUUGUUUUCUUCCUUAGUUCUCAACUACAACCUUGACUUGUAGGUUUUUGAUUAGAUAUUCUAGGCGGUCAUUACGUCAUCAUAACUCAACGGUAGCCUCUUUAUAGAUAUUUCUGAUUUACCGAUGCACAUGAACUUCUCAUCCAAGAUGUUGGUUGUUUUCGCAUGAAGAACAAAUAAUGGUCACCCAUUCUCCCUUAUAAGAGGAAGAUCAAGGCUAUUACAAUUGAUGAUUGAUCCUUUUAUCAAGUCAACCUUCUUCAUCACUGUCCUUCGCUGUUAUUUACAGGAGGAGGUAGUCAACAGCUGACUAGAAUUCCUCACCCAUGCUAGUGAUGGGCUGUGGGGUUUUGUAACUAACGAUGUUUUUACUGAAGAUUCUCCUUCACAUAGUGAUAUUUUCCUGUAGUUCUCAAUGGGUUGUCCCGGAUUUUCUAUUUCCAGGAAGCUGUUGCCAUGGUCAAGCCAAUAGAGGAUCCUGAGCAAGCGACGAAGGGACUAGUUCAAGAAGCUUCCCAAAGAGCAAGCGCUGACACAUGACCGUUGUCAUUUGUUCCCAAAGGAUGGAACAACGUCGAGCGGUGAUGUAACGAGUGAGGAGGUUUGCUAAUGAACCAAUCUUGAUAGUAGUUCUUGUUCGUCCGUGGCGCUGUAUCUGCUGUUGUAUCUGAUGUUAUGUGGCGGCAGCACCCUCCCGUGCUGCGAAACCAAACUGACUUGGCCUGAGUUUCGCCUUGGUUCCAUCGUGAUGUCGGAGCAGAGGGAUGGUGGGGCCAGUGUUGUUACCAUAUGAUCCAAGGGGUACUUUUCUUCUUGCUGAACCUUGCACUUCGCAGCUUCUAUGCAGGUGCUUCAUGCUAGUGAUUUUUAGCACCAGUAAUGUAAAUGCAUGUGACUCUACUGCUUGAAUGAUUUUAACAAAGUUGUUCCGCUCGUGAUGCCA